ACGGAGGAUGCAAGCGUUAUCCGGAUUCAUUGGGUUUAAAGGGUCCGCAGGCGGGAUAAUAAGUCAGAGGUGAAAUCCUCUGGCUCAACUGUAGAACUGCCUUUUAAACUGUUAUGCUAGAGUGUAGUUGAGGUGGGCGGAAUAUGGCAUGUAGCGGUGAAAUGCUUAGAUAUGACAUAGAACACCAAUCGCGAAGGCAGCUCACAGAACUACACCUGACGCUCAGAGGCGAAAGCUAGGGGAGCAAACAG
rnacentral:rRNA from 1 species